CUGAAGUCAGCGGCGGACGGGUGAGUAACACGUGGGCAACCUGCCUGUAAGACUGGGAUAACUUCGGGAAACCGGAGCUAAUACCGGAUAAUGCACAGCCUCUCAUGAGGCUAUGCUGAAAGAUGGUUUCGGCUAUCACUUACAGAUGGGCCCGCGGCGCAUUAGCUAGUUGGUGAGGUAACGGCUCACCAAGGCAACGAUGCGUAGCCGACCUGAGAGGGUGAUCGGCCACACUGGGACUGAGACACGGCCCAGACUCCUACGGGAGGCAGCAGUAGGGAAUCUUCCGCAAUGGACGAAAGUCUGACGGAGCAACGCCGCGUGAGUGAUGAAGGUUUUCGGAUCGUAAAACUCUGUUGUCAGGGAAGAACAAGUGCCGGAGUAACUGCCGGCACCUUGACGGUACCUGACCAGAAAGCCACGGCUAACUACGUGCCAGCAGCCGCGGUAAUACGUAGGUGGCAAGCGUUGUCCGGAAUUAUUGGGCGUAAAGCGCGCGCAGGCGGUCUCUUAAGUCUGAUGUGAAAGCCCACGGCUCAACCGUGGAGGGUCAUUGGAAACUGGGGGACUUGAGUGCAGAAGAGGAAAGUGGAAUUCC
rnacentral:rRNA from 1 species